rnacentral:lncRNA from 1 species
AUUUGAAUUUUUGUUCAUAGCAAAGAAAGUGACGUUCAAACAAUAAAAACACAAACAAUUUUAAUUAAGUAUUUUCCCUUAUAACAUAUAAACAACUUAGCUUUUAUUUUUUAACUUGUAAAGUAUGGAGUGGAAUGUCACUUAGAAUAUUUUUUUCAGGAUAACCUCGUGUCUUAACUGUGCAUUGCGCCCCCUGCUGACACAUUGAUGCAUCCGGAUGAUACACAGCCAGCUUUCUGUUUGACAGCAUGCUGUUCAUUGCAGAUUGUGACAGCAAAAAUGAUAUUAUGGCGAUAAGAGGAUGGUUAGAUACUGCAGCGACGAGAAUCAUUGAAGCUUACAUUGCCAACGUUACAGAUAGUGGACCCAGCAUAAAGACGUAUUACAUCACAGCGUUAUAUUUUACGUUUACGUGACUGACGUCAAUAGGAUUCGGAAACGUGUCACCAAAUACUAAGGAAUUGACAUGCCGGUAAAGAUAAUAUAUUUGGUGGUGACUGCAGUGACGUGGAAUGCUCGGGAAAAUCGUU